AGUGAACGCUGGCGGUAGGCUUAACACAUGCGAGUCGAACGGCAGCACAGUAAGAGGUUGCGCUUACGGGUGGCGAGGGGCGGGUGGGACAGGAAUACAUCGGAAGCUGCGUGGUCGUGGGGGGUAACGGAGGGAAACUUACGGUAAUAGCGCAUACGACCUACGGGUGAAAGCAGGGGAUCUUCGGACCUUGCGCCGUUCGAUGAGCCGAUGUCGGAUUAGCUAGUUGGGGGGGUAAAGGCCCACCAAGGCGACGAUCCGUAGCUGGUCUGAGAGGAGGAGCAGUGAGACUAGUGCUGGAACACGGCCCAGGCUCCUACGGGACGCAGCAGUGGGGUAUGUUGGACAAUGGGCGAAAGCUUGAUCCAGCAAUGCCGCGUGAGUGAUGAAGGCCUUCGGGUUGUAAAGCACUUAUGGCGGGAACGAAAAGGAGUGUGCCAAUACCACGGUUCGAUGACGUUACCCGCAGAAUAAGCACCGGCUAACUACGUG
rnacentral:rRNA from 1 species